rnacentral:misc_RNA from 1 species
GAAGAAGAACGUAGCGAACUGCGAUAAGUAAUGUGAAUUGCAGAAUUCAGUGAAUCAUCGAGUCUUUGAACGCACAUUGCGCCCCCUGGCAUUCCGGGGGGCAUGCCUGUCCGAGCGUCAUUGCUGCCCUUCAAGCCCGGCUUGUGUGUUGGGUCGUCGUCCCCCCCGGGGGACGGGCCCGAAAGGCAGCGGCGGCACCGCGUCCGGUCCUCGAGCGUAUGGGGCUUUGUCACCCGCUCGAUUAGGGCCGGCCGGGCGCCAGCCGGCGUCUCCAACCUUCUAUUUUACCAGGUUGACCUCGGAUCAGGUAGGGAUACCCGCUGAACUUAAGCAUAUCAAUAAGCGGAGGA